rnacentral:rRNA from 1 species
AGAGUUUGAUCCUGGCUCAGAAUGAACGUUGGCGGCGUGGAUUAGGCAUGCAAGUCGUACGGGCCGCAAGGCCAGUGGCGUAAGGGUGAGUAAGGCGACGGUAACCAACCCCAUGACUGGGUAUAGCCGCGGGAAACUGCGGGUAAUCCCCAGCGAUGUCGUCGGGAGGCAUCUCUUGGCGACCAAAGCUCCGGCGUCGU